GCCUGGCUGGCUCAGUAGGAAGAGCAUGUGACUUUGACCUCAGGGUCAUGAGUUCAAGCCCCAUGUUGGGUG
rnacentral:tRNA from 1 species